rnacentral:misc_RNA from 1 species
GAUCCCCCCUUUUCAGUCGCUUUACAUCGCCUCUUUAACGCCUACGCAGAAGCAAACCAUAUCUCGUGCACGUGUGUGUGUGUGUGUAUGACACACCUGCCGCGCUCCCUCCCUCUCUCCUUCCCGCUGCAGUGGACGGUUGCACACAGACACCCACCCUCUCGAUUCCCACUGGACACAACAGGCGAGAAGGAGCGAAUACAAGAGAAAACCUUUCUUGCCUGGCCGCUCUCAUCCGCGCCUUGAAGAGGGGAGAAAAAAAACGGCGCCAGAGGCAGAGGCGCUUCGGAGGGUCGUCUGUAGGUGAGGAGGCGAGAACAAACAGAAAGCAAGCACAAGUGCGGGUGGCUGCGCAGCUUCGCGUAGGGGGAUCAACUGCAGUGCGUCGUUCAACCUCGAGCAGUUUCGUACGACUUGAUUGACCCUGCUGGACUUUGGGUGACUUCUCCCAGCAUUGCAGCACACCAUCUUUUCUUGUUUCGUUCUUGUUUUUUUUUUUAGCUCUACUCUUGUUGCUGCUAAGCUUGCAUGCGCUGGUCACCGCUUUGUGGGCGUGAGUUCUUUACAUCGUGAGUGACAGUCUCGUAUAUCCCGCUUGCCAUUCUUGUUGCUGUGCGUGUGUGUGCUUGUGGGUUUCUUUUCUCCGCAGCCUAUCCAUCCUUCACUCUUCCCUCUUUUCGUUUUCCAUCCUUUUUCUGCAGUGCUUCUCAGCCGUGCGCGUGUGUUCCUUCUUCCUGCGUGUUGGCCUCUAUAUCGCCUGUACACUGCUGUGGUGGCGCCUUUACGCCAUUUUACACUCCCCCCCUCCUCCUCCUGCCCCUUCGUGUGGGCUUGUGUGCGUUCGUCGCUCUCUCUCCCUUUCAUAUCUUUGGCCACGCGGCUCUGCAGCAAUACACCCGCUCGCUCCUUUUUCUGCCCCUCCCCCUCCCCCAAUUCCUCUUCCUUUUCAUAACACCUACCCCAUUCACUCCCCCGCCUCGAUAGUGUGGGGGGGGGGUGAGAAAGAGCGUGUCUGCGCGGCGCAGAAGCACAGUGCGUUUCUGAGCAUGUGGAGCUUUCUGAACGAUGUACGGGAGUCGGUGCGGCAGGUAGUCGCGCCUCCUCCCCGCAUGAGCAGCGCAGCUAGCUCCACCACCACCGCCAUGCCUAUGACGGCGAAUGCGAGGGAGAUGGGCUUCGAGGAGGCAGUGGAUCAACUGACAACUGGGCUGCUUAGCUUAUGGCGCAAGGUUGACCAGACAGCCACUAAGGUCCUUCGCCAAGCCUUCGACGGAGCCGUCUCACUACGGGAGGAGGCCGUUCCACAGCUUUUUACCUUGACAGCAGAGGCGCGCGCGUCCCUCUCAGAGGACGAGCUCCUGGAGCUCCUCAUAGAUGCCGUCUCGCAGGCGACCGAUCGCACGCAUCAGGCGCUCGAUGAGGCGAAUUUUCUCUUGAGCCUCGGCAUUGAAGAACAAAUCGCGCACACGAAAGACUACGCGGGGUGCUAUGAGUGGUGGGAUCGAACAGUGAACCGCCGCCUCAUCGUCUGCCAAGAGGUGUUGCAGGCCCGCUUCGCCGACACCUCUUCUACACCACAGCACAUGGCAACGGUGAUGGCGCUGCGCGCCCAAAUGGAUGUGAUUCGACGCGCCUCGACCCAGCCACUGGCCGCUGUCGCCGCUCGCGGACGCCUUCUCGAAGACGAGCGCUACGACUUGCUCAAAUCUCUCCCCGCAGUGUUUCCCCUCGAAGGAGGCGUGCAGCCCGCACACGUCAGCUUCACGGCACCCGCUGAUGCGGCCUCCACCCCCCACCAGCCCACUACCGCACCCCCUAGUGAAGCUUCUUAUACGCCCACCGUGGAGAGCGUGGUUGCUGCCGUGCCUCGUGACUCCUACAUACCUCAGUUUAGGCCCUUUAAAGCCUCUUCAGCAAGCGCUGCCGCCGUUCCGCUAACCUGUUCCUCUACCGCUACUCUUCAAGCCUUUGACUCCACUCACUGCGAAGCGCAGCCUGCCGCUGCACACGCAUCUCCAUCACAGACGCAACCAUCCUCUGAGGAGCAGGCACGGCUCGCCGUGAGGCGGAGGAGCAGUCACGCCUUGCCCGCGAGGCGGAGGAGCAGGCACGCCUUGCCCGUGAGGUGGAGGAGCAGGCACGGCUCGCCCGUGAGGCGGAGGAGCAGGCACGCCUUGCCCGUGAGGCGGAGGAGCAGAACGCCUUGCCCGUGAGGCGGAGGAGCAGGCACGGCUCGCCCGUGAGGGGGUCCGGGUGUGGUGGAGGGAGAGGAGAGUGCGGCGCGGGCGAAAGUAUCGAGGGAGGCCCAGGAGGUCUCUGCAGCACUUUAUGGCGAGGUGAUCAUGGGCUCCCAGGUGAUGCAAAAGGGGAUGCACACGCGGUCCUCUAGUCAUAAUGCGAUGCUGACCCCUGCGGGGACUGUAAUCGACGAUGACGGGUGGGCCGAAGAUGACGGCUUUGAGGAGGUAAACAUGGCUCAGUUCACAAAAUAUCUCGGCUGCCCACAAAGACGCACUAGUUGGGGCGGUGCCGACCCGUCGUUCUCGUCAUCCCCGCUUUCUGCCUACCCGCAAGCAUACACACCAGCGUCUGUCCAGCGGGAUGCACCGCUUUCGCGCAAGAAGCUCUCGCCGCCGAUAACGCCAGUGUCUGGUGCGCAACAGGCCGGAGUGACAGAGGUGGUCACUCCCACUGUGGGCCGUCGGACAGGUGGAAUGAGUUUGCGUAAGAAAUCCCCGACUGUGCGGGUGGCGACGGACGGAGCAACGCCCGUUUCCGCAUUCCAACCUCGCGGCUCUAUCGGCAGUAGUAGCAGUAUGAGCAGCCCUUACGGCGGCGCCGCGAAUGCUGCGUCCGGCGCAGCUGGAUUGAGACCUGCACCUCGGCAGAGUGUCUUCUGUAGCCCUUCGGCAGUGAGCAAGCAAUCGAAACGCCAGGUGCAACUCGAGGAUGACGAUAAAUGGGAUGAGGAUUGGUAGUCCACCCUCCCUGGACGACGAAUACAUGCUGCCAACGCACACGCGCACGCGCUCACAACACGAGCUCUUUGUAGAUCUCGCGUGCAUCGAUCGGAGUGCUCUGUGAAACAAGUCACGCGCCGCUAAAGAUUGUACUAGUUUGUUCGCGGUUGUUACAUUGCUUCCGUGUUGAGGCGCGAGGUAAGUUGUCGGAGUGCGGCUGACUGAUCGCCGUCUCGGCUGACCUGAAGUCUAUUUCCAUCUCUGGCUGCCAGCUAGCGCACCUGUUCCCGGUUCUACAAGGUCGCACGUGCUUUUCUUCGUGUGGUUGUGUACGUAUGCGUUGAUGUAUCCCUGUGCUACUCAUCAAAC